rnacentral:rRNA from 1 species
GGCGAACGGGUGAGUAACACGUGGGUGAUCUGCCUUGCACUCUGGGAUAAGCUUGGGAAACUGGGUCUAAUACCGGAUAGGAACCGUCUUUAGUGUGGUGGUUGGAAAGUUUUUCGGUGCAAGAUGAGCUCGCGGCCUAUCAGCUUGUUGGUGGGGUGAUGGCCUACCAAGGCGACGACGGGUAGCCGGCCUGAGAGGGUGAUCGGCCACAUUGGGACUGAGAUACGGCCCAG